UGGAAGAAAUUCCACAAAAUAUAAGAGAAAAGGCCAUAAAAGCGACCGAAAAUUUUUUGCCACUUAAAUCAAGGCAGUAUGAUAAACAGUAUGAUCGGGAGUAUGACAUAUUUGGUAUUUGGAAAGAUGCCAACGCAAUUGUUCAAAUAACCGAAACCGUUCUAAUGGCAUAUUUUCAGGAACUUUCGGAAAAAUACAGUCCGAACUCUCUCUGGACCAAGUAUUCUACCCUAAGGUCUACGUUAAUGGUCUAUAAAAAUAUAGACAUCUCGCAAAACCAUCGUCUCAUAUCUUUUUUAAAAGUUAAGUCGAAAGGAUAUGUCCCGAAGAAGUCUAAAGUUUUAGAAGAAGAACAAAUAAUAAAAUUUAUUAAGAAGGCUCCUGAUGAUAUCUACUUGGUACACAAAGUCAUAUUGGUAAUGGGUGUUUUGGGAGGUUUAAGGCGAGAUGAGUUGGUCAAGAUAACCAUUGAUGAUAUUGAAGAUAGAGGAACGGUCUUGGUUAUAAAGGUACCAGAAACUAAAACUUCAACUUCAAAAAGUUUUACUAUCAUUGAAGAAGAUUUAGGCGCUUUAAAUUUAAUAAAAAAGUGCGCAGCAUUAAGACCAUCUGGAAUAAAGGAGCGAAGAUUCUUUCUUACCUAUAGAAAGAGUCGCUGUACAGUACAACCUGUUGGAAAAAAUAUUCCGUUUCUAAGUGGCAGUGCCAUGAGAUACCUCAACUGUGUGUGGAGUUGUGUGAUGCUGAGUCCAAUUUACGUGAUACGCCGCCUCGCCGCAUGCAGCGAGGUAUGUCUCCCCGUGUAUGCCCCGCUUAAAGCGGAGAACACAUAUACGCGAUCACGACCACGAUCGCGAUCACGAUCGCGAUGGCGAUCCUUGCCUUCAGAAGGGGUGGACACAUAUCCGCGAUCGCGAUUAGGCUCAGUCGAAGUGCACGCAUACAUAAACAGCUUAUUUUAAAUCUGAGGGCGGGUUAAAAGUGUCAAUAGAGGAUUUUGAGGAAGAGGCACUACUUCUUGCAAUAUUAUUGGAUGAAGAUGAAAAUUGCAAUAAUGAUAGGCGAAGGAUAAAAAGACGGAACGUUUGGGUACACGAGAUUAAUAAAAAACGUAAGGCCGAAGGCGAAUUUCAUAGGUUAUAUCCUGAGCUCCGUACAGACGAAAAUCGAUUCUAUACUUACUUUAGAAUGAAUUUUGAAUGUUUUGACGAAAUAAUAAAUCUUAUCAAGGACGAUAUUACAAAACAAGUAACGAUUAGCCGUCACAUUAAGAUUUUUGGCAACCGGCGACUCUUACAAAACAAUCGGUCAUAGUUUUCGAUUGGGAUUUUCAACAGUUGCUAUAAUUGUUGAAGAGGUUUGCACUGUUAUAUGGAGUAAACUGCAGCCAAUUUAUAUGCCAGAGCCCACACAAGAGCUAUGGGAAAAAUCAGUUUUGGGCUAUGAAAACUUAUGGCAGUUUCCCAACUGUUUAGGAAGCAUAGACGGGAAGCACGUGACAAUCAGGUGUCCCCAAAAUAGUGAAUCAAAUUAUUUUUCCUACUUAAAAAAAUUUUCAAUUGUUCUCAUGGCGAUUGUUGACCCUGAAUAUAAAUUUAUUUGUGUAGAUGUUGGUGCCUAUAGUAAAAAUAGUGAUGGAGGUAUCUUCGAGCAAUCUGCUAUGGGAAGAAGAUUUGAAAAUGGCACAUUUAAUAUUCCUCCUAACAGGCCAUUUGCCGGUAAAGAUGAUGAGGUUCCAUGUGUUUUGAUAGGCGAUGAAGCUUUUACCUUAAGUACUUACUUAAUGAGACCAUUUCCCUACAGACAAGCGAGAUAUGACCGUAAUAAAGAAAAAUUCAAUUACCAUCUAUGUAAAGCUCGUCGCGUUGUGGAAAACGCUUUUGGCAUACUGGCACACAAAUGGAGAUUUUUUUUUUAGACCCUUAGAAGUAAAAGUUAGCACGGCUACAAAGCUUGUAAAAACAGCCUGUGUAUUACACAACUUUUUACGGGAAAAAAUAUUGACCAAAAAUAUCUUAAUCUACAAGAACACAAUGAUAUGCCAGUACAGGUAUUCCAUCCCUUGCCAGUUGAUAGAAGAAGAGCGGUAAAACUAGCGUUUGGGAUACGUGAAAAAUUUGUUUCCCAUUUCAGUAAUUUGUAAAAGAUGUCACUCAUAAUAAACUUACACAUAUUAUGUCCAAAAGUAUGGAAUUGUUUUUUGAAGUAUUUUUCUUGAUAUUUAAGAUUUUACUUCUUGGUUUAUUUAAACAUAUUUUAAUUACUUUACAACACGACUUGAACAGUGUACAGGGUGUCUCCAAUUCGUGCCUCAACAUGGGGAACUCCGUAACUAUGGGUGAUCUCCAUAACAGGGUUGGUUAAAUUAGACAAAAGUUGCGCAUUUUUAGGCCUAACUAUCGUUAGGCAUAUUGCCAUUGUUGGCAUAUUUGCCAUUUAAAAGAUUAAUAAAACCCGAACGGUCCCGAAGAUAAAAAGAAAAAAAAAAACAAAAUGUUGAAAAUUUGAUUUAAUGUUUUUCUAAGCUUCUUUGUGAUCUAAUUUUAAAAUACGACGAUAGUUUUUUCAAUCAUCUUCGGAACCGUUCGGGUUUUAUUAAUUUUUUAAAUGUCAUAUUAUUAGGCUCAAAAUUUCGCAACUUUUCUAUAAUUUAACCAACCUCCCAUAGUUACGGAGUUCCCCAUGUUGAGCCACGAAUUUGAGACACCCUGUACAAUAAAUUAAUUUAUUUAUUUAUAUGUGUAGCUAAGUAUAAAUUAACAAAUAUAUUAUGUGUAUACAAAACAAUAGUUUAUUACUUACCAGUAUGAUGAUUUCCCAUAUCCUUGGCAAUGUCGUCCCAUACUUUAUUUUGAAUACGAACAUUCUUAUAAUCACGAUGUGCCAUAUCGAAUAAAACAUCAUGUUUCUUUACAUGUUCAAUAAAUUCUUCCGUGAAAUCGGCCAUUUUUUAACUUACGAUCCGCGAUCAACGUAACCUGCUGCGUUUGAUCGCCGCUGCUCGCUUUCUGGCGAGGAACGUGCGAUCGAACGCUGCAGAACGCCACCGUAUCGCUAACAGGUCGCGACAAGUAUGUGCGGCUACAUUUCUUUACUUUGGACGCGUCUGAUCGCCAUCGUGAUCGUGAUCGCGAUCGUGGUCGUGAUCGCGUAUAUGUGUUCUCCGCUUAAACGGCCACAUCAAGAUCUUGCUGGAGGGGGGCGGAGUCUGCUUUUGGACUCGUGACCAAUAGCAGCCCACCUCCUACCUAAGCUAAUAAAUAUAAGCACACCUAAAUCCCGCGACAAGCCGGUACAGACAAUGUAGACCUAGUAGCAUGGAGCCACGAGUCGAAGCCAACGAGCUGCUCGCGUUCGCUGCGCCGGAUGCCAAGACCCGAGACCGAUUGUGAGAGAUUCUUCGAAAAGAAUUGGCACUAAAUUUUUAUGUUUGUUUACAUUGGUUGGUUUGUGCAUCAGUUUCAGUUUCGAUGGUAUUCAAUAGUUGUUAUAGCAGACUUAUAGAAUGGUAAAUCGUGAAUGAGUGGUGAAAUUAACAUAUAGAAAGGAAGGUACAGGUAGAUUUUUAAUUUUUUCCAGGAGUGCAUGUGCAAUAUAAAAAUUAGAGCUUUGUUUUUUCGGGAUAACUUAAGGCUAUACUUUUUUUUAAAUAAUUUUU